rnacentral:lncRNA from 1 species
CGGAUCACGAGGUCAGGAGAUCGAGACCAUCCUCGCUAAUACAGUGAAACCCCGUCUCUACUAAAAAUACAAAAAAUUAGCCGGGCAUGGUGGUGGGCACCUGUAGUCCCAGCUACUCAGGAGGCUGAGGCAGGAGAAAUGGCGUGAACCCAGGAGGCGGAGCUUGCAGGGAGCUGAGAUCGAGCCACUGCACUCCAGCCUGGGCAACAGAGCAAGACUCCAUCUCAAAAAAAAAAGUAAAGAAAAGAAGACACAUCUCCCAACCUUUUAUUUAGGUCUGGCAGAAUUUUAGGGAGUGAAUGAUUUAGGUGAAGCAGGUAAAUGGAAAAUGUGAUUGACAGCUAUCUCUGAUUCUAAUUGGGCCAGCAGAGCUAGGAGGGCCAUCUGGCAGAGCUUUUCCUUAUGGGCCCAGUGGGGAGGGGGAAUUUGGGACUCUCUUUGCCCUGUAGCUCUUGUGUCUAAGGUAAUCCAUUGUCGUCCUAUUCCUUCUGCUCCAUGUGUCUCAGAGAACUGGACCCCAUCCUGACUGAGGUCACCCUGAUGAAUGCCCGCAGUGAGCUAUACUUACGCUUCCUCAAGAAGAGGAUUAGCUCUGAUUUUGAGGUGGGAGACUCCAUGGCCUCAGAGGAAGUAAAGCAAGAGCACCAGAAGUGUCUGGACAAACUCCUCAAUAACUGCCUUUUGAGCUGUACCAUGCAGGAGCUAAUUGGCUUAUAUGUUACC